AAAGUCGUAACAAGGUUUCCGUAGGUGAACCUGCGGAAGGAUCAUCAAUAGUCCAAAAUAUCAGGUCGUCUGUUGUCAUCCUGGUUAUUAUGUGAUGGUAACGGGAGAACGACGGCGCUGAAUAUACCUCGUUGUGAAUGGUUUUGUUGGUUAUAUGGUAGACUGGGAGUAGUAGGAGUGGUUGGUGGUAGUGAGGUUAGUUGUGCAUGUAUGCGUGUGCAAUGAUGGUAUAUAUGCCGUUAUUGCCAACGCGCAUACAUCAUGGUUCACUACUGUGUCCACCACCACCACCACCACCACCACGCUCCCAGUUGACCGUUUGUUUUACACAACCAUGCUGGUCUAUAGUUGCGGUUAAUCCCAUGUAAUGGGUCACCAUUAUCAUCAUACUGGUAUGGUGGGUUGUCCUACCAGUCAAGUUAUAUAUACAACUUAUAGCGAUGGAUCUCUAGGCUCUG
rnacentral:misc_RNA from 1 species